GAUGAACGAUGGCGGCGUGCCUAAUACAUGCAAGUCGAGCGAACGGACGAGAAGCUUGCUUCUCUGAUGUUAGCGGCGGACGGGUGAGUAACACGUGGAUAACCUACCUAUAAGACUGGGAUAACUUCGGGAAACCGGAGCUAAUACCGGAUAAUAUUUUGAACCGCAUGGUUCAAAAGUGAAAGACGGUCUUGCUGUCACUUAUAGAUGGAUCCGCGCUGCAUUAGCUAGUUGGUAAGGUAACGGCUUACCAAGGCAACGAUGCAUAGCCGACCUGAGAGGGUGAUCGGCCACACUGGACCUGAGACACGGUCCAGACUCCUACGGGAGGCAGCAGUAGGGAAUCUUCCGCAAUGGGCGAAAGCCUGACGGAGCACCGCCGCGUGAGUGAUGAAGGUCUUCGGAUCGUAAAACUCUGUUAUUAGGGAAGAACAUAUGUGUAAGUAACUGUGCACAUCUUGACGGUACCUAAUCAGAAAGCCACGGCUAACUACGUG
rnacentral:rRNA from 1 species